AAAGGAGGAGGAGGAACAGGCAUUGUGGCCUUGUUAAAUCCAACAGGCUACCUAUAGUAUGUACAUUGAAAGAGACAGAGUCUGGACUAAAGUGAGAAGAAGACUGGACUUGUCUUUGUUUCUCAUCAUUGAGGACCAAAUUAUAGACAUUGUCAAGAGAAGGGGGAGGCUGCAUCAUCAAAAGAUUACUCCUGACCCCCAUAUAUGCUUCAUUCAGACCCAUUAAAAACUGAAAAACCUUAUUGUCAUCACUUUCCUGUAC
rnacentral:lncRNA from 1 species